UACACAAAGGCCAGCGUUAGCCUUGCAACCUAGCGACCCAAUGGCAUCAAAAAGCAGUGCUUUCUUGGCGUGUCAUCAUGCUGGGCUAGGAGCUUCAGCUGAAGGCAAGCUGAGCUGUGGGCAGACCUUUUGUUUCUGUAGGUCUAUGCACAGAGUCUCAUCCUGCCACUGGCACCCAAAAGGCUCUAGACCAAGCUCAACAUGUGCACUCACACCUAAAAACUAACACCAGCCUUCUUUUUCACUUCUUCAUCUGCACAUCGUUACCAAUGGGUUUUGCACUGUAUAACGUCUAUUGCUGAAAUGUUGUUCUUGAGCCACUAAAGCACAGGGCUGAUUAAAGAUAGGGCUUAUUUAAGAAAGAGGAAUGUUUUCACUUUUUCUUAUUGGUUUAAGAAUAGCAUAACCCUGAUGACACUGAGGAUCUAGAGGAAUUUAUUCACCAGAUUACUAUUUAAAAAACAAGUUAAAAUGUGAAUUCUUAAGGAAUUAACUGUGCCUCAUUAGCAGGCUGAUCUGGCUGCUGUACUUGCAGGACAUGGUGGAGCUGCUGACCAAGCUGACCACGAUCGAUGGGCACAACCAAAAGACUUGCCUUUGGAAAGAGAAAGACCUAAGAAGGAGACAGUGACAGCUUCCCAUCUGCUGACUAUGAUCCCGAGAGCCUGCUGAGUUCUCUGAGACUCAUGUUCUCCCUGAGAAAGGCUCAGAGAUGUCUCCAGGAGAUGGAGGGAGUUCAGCUACCAAAGCUUCCAGCCCUGCAGUGCACGGCCCCAGGCUGGGCACGUUAGUUAGUACAGGAGCUGCUGGGCAGCCAAACAAGCCGUGCACAUGGCCAGCAUCUGCUGCCUGCUCUGAAAGGUGGGAGACUAUCCUGCAUAGACAGUGUGUCCAGGAAUGCAAGAGCCCAGAUCAGAUUUCCAGGCACGACCAACCCUUGCUUUUUAGAGUGGGAAAUGCUGACUGCCAUCGGCAGGGUUUUCUUUCUGUUCUAAGGAGGAUGGAAGAGCACCUAAUGGAAAGCGUAUGGACUGGAGGAAUGCAAUAUACAUUACUAAUUCUUACUGCUUUCCUGGAUUAACUCUGAUUCUGGAUGACAGCUGACAACUAUGGCCGGACCCUGUUGCACCCUACACCACCUGUAGAAGCCAUUAGAUCAAAUAUGUCUGGGAUAGUAAUGAAAAGCAGGAGCAAACUUUUUCUAAGGGGGCUGGGAGCCUGGAGGGGAAAUCAAAGCUCCCACCUGCAGAAAUGAAAUGGAAAAAGCUCUGAACGUGCCACCAAGCAACUGCAUCCAGGAGCAGCUGUGCCUGGCGCCAUGAGCUGACCCCAGGACCCUGAGCAGCAUCUCGUCCCAGUGCUGUGUCCUCAAGCAGGGCCACGCUGGGGACACCCAUCCAGGGGAGCUUUGUGCAUCACCUUUUCUCUUGUCUCUUGGUUGCCUAGCCUUUGGGCUGGAGAGAGAACAUGGGAACAGAUGGCUGCCUGUGGCACAACAAGCUGGAAAUACAUCUCUCAGCUUACCAGGAGCCUGGCUAUGUGAGAAAAUGUGCACCAAAGCCACAAGUGGGUGAAGUGGGAUGGGCCGACAGCCAGAGCCAAGAAACCCCUCUGUCAGCUCCCCAGGCAGUAAGACUACCCUGCAUUUGCCUGCAGCGGCCAGCACAGUGGGUUACUAGUCAGUUCCUUGGCAUUGCACAACACAGAAUAAUAAUACCCCCAGAGAGCAGUGAUGUGAGCAAAGGAACCGUGCUCUGUGUGGGUGGCAGCGAAAGCAUGGGAACGAGCUCAGCCGCCUCUCACCCAGCCUCCUGCUUCCCUCAACUCCCCCCACGACAAAACUGGACCACGAUUAAGUAAGCCAAGGCUCUGAAAUACUGCGAUGCAGCUGUUCUGUUCAAGAGGUGCAGUGCCUGCCCUGUUCAAAGCAUCUUGUACAGAGGAGCAGGCUGAAAGCCGUGCCAGCCCCUGACACCUUGCCACCACGGCUGGGUCAUGCCCUGGCCAUUGCGGCCCAGCAGCACAGGGGCUGAUGCUCUGCACAUGAUGCUCAGAGGAGCAAUGAGCAAGUGUGACCUGGAUGCAGUCAGCGUAGCACAGUGUGUGGAAAGACCAGCUCACUGUCAAAUGGGCAGGCAUUUCAGAAAUGAUUCCACAUGGCUCCAGCCUCAGCUCGAUUCCAUUAAAUUGUUUCAUGAUCUGGAUGAUGAAUAGAGAGCAUACUUAUAAGGUUUCUGGAAGAUGGGAAGCUGGAGAGAUUUCAACCACCUUGGAGUAUUGGAGUACAGCUUCGAUAAAAGAGAGAAGCUGUCCAAGAUCAGGAUGCACUUCAGCAAAGGCAAGAGCGAAGUAUGGCGCUCAGGAGAAUUGAAAGGCACGAGUACAAAUGGGGCUAGGCAGAAGCAGCUUGAGGGCUGCAAAAGAACAAAGUGCAUAAGCCAGCAUCACAACAGGCCCAGAAAUAAUCAGCUCAGCUUCAAGAAAAACAGUCUUACCCUUACCAAGUUUUUAAUGCUAAUGUCUGGUGAUUCCUGCAUCAGAUCUUUUAAAACUAGGUGGUCUCGUGACCACACCACCAUCAGUUUUGUGGACAAGCCAAGAGAAUACAGUGCAGUUCCACCGAGCCCUGCUAUGUCUGCAUGGCAGGAGCUGAGCCCAAUGCUGCUUGUGCUCCCCACAGGCUGCAGGAUGGGAGGGGGCCUGGGAUGAUACAAACCAACCUUCUUUCUCAGGCAGGAGGAGGGAUAAAGCUGGCGGUCUUUCUGACAGUGUGCCAGCAGAUGAGCUUCCAAAUGAGAGAAGAGGCAGACACCUGUGCAGGAAGGCCCUGAGCUGGGCAUAAGCUGAAUAAGCUGCAGGAUGUCCUGCAGAAGCGUCUGGAUUUAUAAACAGAUUUACUGCUCCUCUCCAGCAUUCAGAACAUACAGCCUUUCACACCACACGACAACAGAAUAAAACUCCCAGACAGGCUUAAUCUCAGAAUUGUAGGAGGCCACCUAGUCCAAUCCUAAACUAAAGCAGAUUCCCUACAGCAGCUGACACAGGUAGGCAUAUCCUUAUGGCUCUUUAAUAUCUCCAGAGAAGGGCACUCCACACCCUCUAUGGGCAGCCUGCUCCAGGGCUCUGCACUCUGACAGUGAAGCAGUGUUUCCCUGCGUUAGUAAGAAACUAUCCUUUCCAGGCCAAAGCUAUGUGCUGCAGUUACUAUUUGUUACCAGAUUUAAAGGCUGCGUUUUGCACAGAUUACUUCAAAAUAACAGUGAGGUAGCUGAGCCAAGCACUGCUGUUCCCAGACUGCAUCUUCUCAGAGCUCGCUGGCUUGAGCCCUACCAAACUCCCAGCACGUGAGCCUGGCCUUGGGAACACAUGUCCAAUUCCCCAGCACUGCUCUCUGGGGAAGUCACUCUUACAAACAAGUGCAUUGUCAGAUAUGGACUACAUGUCCUCAGUACUUUUGGUAAGACACAAGGAGGGAAAUCAGUUGUCCCACCUGCAUUUUACCUACCUGUCUUGGUCAGAAAUACACAUAAGAGCAGAAGAUCACCUCUCCUUGUGUAGAUGAUAGUGCAGGAUCCACUGAAUUAGUUUAAUUGAUGUCAAAUGCCAGGGAAUCAUGUAUGCACAAGAUGACACAAAACCGCUGCCUCUUUUAAAAGCAUCUGUGCAGAACAAAACACCCCCUUUUAUUUUCCACUGUUCUUCUAACAAGCAAGGUCUGUUGUGACACAUCAGACUCCCAACAGAGUCUGUGUUGGCAUUAAUUUACACUUCCAGCUCUUCUGCAGCCCUGUUAUCACACCAGCAGGAACCUCAGCAGUUUUCAAAGAGCCAUCAGAGGCACACUUGCUUCAUGCUAGCUCACAAUGCUGAAGUUUGGUUUAAAGAUUUAGCACCAACCUACCAAAACAAUUUAUACUGCAGCCUGUCCUGGCCCAAAAAAUGGAUUUCGGGCAGCACAGUGUUCAGGAAACACAAACUUCACAGAAGAUGAGGACAUCAGCUGCUCUGCACAGCUCUGUCCCCAGACACAAGCUGGGGCUUCCCUGCCCUAUCUGUGCUGUGAUCCUCUCCAUCUCCACUGAGCAGCCCCGACUGGCCCAGCCGCCGCAUCUGGACAACGUUUCCGGCUGAAGGGUUGCUACACACUACCAAAUAAGUAGAUAAAUGAAGCAGUGUUGCUCUAACAGUUACAAAGACUAAAAAUACACUCACUGCAAGGAGGCAGCAGGGUUUCUAAAAUAUUCACAGAUUUACUUGUUACCUAGGGUUUCUGGAGGCAAGGGAGAAAGUAGUAAGGACACUCCAGUUAACUUAUUUUUAAAAGCAGGCUGCUGCUUGCAACUGUUUCUAAGCAAACCAGUUGCAACCUUGUGGACUCAGCUGCCUUCAGUCCCCGGCACAUGUCAGGGGAGAUCUGGAUGUUUCCGUUUUCCUCUCCACCAGCUUUUUACUCCCUGUCCCUCAGCAACUGGUGGGGGUGUAUGAGGGAUGCAGUGAGCACACACUCAUCUAUAGAGCUAUUACAGAGGGAGCCAGGUUGGAGGCACCAACACAGUGCCUGGUCUCCAUUUCUCAGGGCAGGUCCUGCACCAGGGCCACGCACACUGCAGACCACACAAGGACAUGCGGAUAAGCCACAGGCUGUCAGCAAGGAGACAGGGCCUUUUCCCAUGCCCAAAUUGUUGCAACACUGGUGUCAGGGUCUAUCGUAGGGGGAUAUACACAGCACAAGGAGAAAGUAAGAAAAUGGGAGGAAACAAGUGCUGUGGCCUCCUAAGUAAAUAACGGAGUCAUUGGCUGUGGCUGAGGAGAACAAUGUGCCCUCAGCCCAUACCAUGGAAAAGGCCAGGGCCUGCAGAUCAAGAGAUCAGUAGCCAACGGAGAGGGCCCAGUCUGGGUUGACUAAUUGCUCUUGCUGGUUUGAAGAAAAAGCCAACGGCCCUCUCUAGAGGAGCAGAUCAGCAGCACUGAUCCUUGCAGGCACAUAAUUUAAAGCUCCUGCAGGUAGAGUAUCUCUUGCAAACACCAAGGCAUUUGCACUGGCUGUGCACAUGCUUGCUGUCAGAGCUAUGGCCAUAUUUGAAAUCUAACCAGCUGAGGCAACGUUUACAUGAAGAAUUGAAAUGAAAAGGAGAAAACAAAGGCAAGGCACAGCUUUGCUACACAGAAAGUUCUCUUGGGAAUGAAAGAAAGGAAAGAGGCUGGAGAGAGAGCAACUCCGUUAGGCAGAACCACCCAUGGCUUCUUGGGAAGCACAGAACUUGUAAACAAACUCCCCACACGGUCUGCAAGACAAGACAUACCCACUUACAAGACAAAUAGCUGUGCACAGGAGACCAGCCUAAAAAGGCAUUCGUUCUACUGGAGGCUUACUUCAAGAGCCAGAGCUGGAGGAUUUCUUCCUCUGAGUGAGGCAGCACAGGACUAAGAGGAAUGGGCACCUUCCCUUCUGUGCCCAACGAGGAGCUAGCAGGAGCACUUGGGUACAACUUGCCACUGCAGCAGCUCUGCUCUCUUGGUCCAUCCAGGCGUGCUCAACUCUCAACAGUUUCAGCCAAUGCGUGCUGAAGUGAGACUUGACUUUUUACAGCUCCUGACCCCAUUUGUCACUUUUCUUUCUUCUGAUAUUUAUAUAUCCUCUGUGGUUAACACCAACACAAGAACACUUCAAGGUUUCCUUCAACAGCACUGACUUCAACUUUAAGUGCUCUUUUACACCUUGGUCCUCUACAAGCACCACAGAUUCCCUGGCAGGCUUCCUCUGAAAAAAAUGUUUUUAUUACUUUUCAUGCCUUAAACAAGUUGUUCCUCAGUAUCACUUUUGGCUUGACUUCUUAUGCUUUGAUAUUAAGUCUCCCAGAAAUGGUGCUCCAUUUCUAAUUCCCUCAUUUGGCUAUUUCUAAUUCCUUCUCAUUGUUUUAAGAGAGCUCUCAUUUCUAAGAACCUACUUUAAUGUAUUAUUUAAGCCUGCCGGAUUUUCUAAGGUCCUUUUAAUGGUCCUUUGGCAUGGAGGCUUUACUCUUAAUCAAUCUCCAUACCAUUUGCCAGCACUUUAUCCUAUGGUGUUUGCUUUGCAUGUUUUCCCAUCCUUACGCAGCCCUUAACCUUUGAAGUUGACUUGCAGUAUGUACUUCAGCAUUUUGACUUGUAGGCAGUUACUGAUAAAAUUAACUGAAUUAUUUGACUUCUUACUCUUUAAUAGGCAGCCAUCACUUUUUUUACUGGCGUGGACUUUUCUCUAUCACCCACUAUCACUUGUAGCCUAAUGUUAAAGUGUCUCACUGAUUUAAGAGUGAAGGCUGGUGAGAGCCUGUACUCACUUACAGUUCAAAUGCCUUUAUAGGUUGGAUGGUAUCCAGAUAGUGAGGUGAAAUUUCCACCUGUCUCACUUGGAUACAUAAAAUUACCUCAUUUAUUUAGAAACUGUGAUCAGCCCUUGCUCGAAGAAGAACAUUUUUCACGCAACCUCCGUGCAAGUUUUUGUCUGCAUGGGGCAGCUGCUUUCCUCCAUGUGAGCUUCCCUGAUGCAAUACAUUUGCCAGUUAAUUAAAACAAAUAAAUCACUCACAUACGCUGCAGAAUGCCUAUGUGAAUGAGGCACGCUAAUAAAAACAAGUCACUUUCAAAGGCCUCUGCCUCCCAGCUACAGCAAGAGGAGAUUUACGGCUUCAAGAUAGGAACGCUGCCUUGAACCAGAGAUGCCUCUUUUGCACAGCAAGGGGCAGCUCAGACUGCUGAUCAUUUCUCCAUCCACAGCCACCCAGAGCGUACUGCUGCUGUGCAGGCACAUGCCACCACCUCUUCACAUGGACUGCUGUGGAACAAGGGACAGGACAGAGGCAGAUGGUGGAACCACGUGCCGGGGGAUGACUGAAAUUGAAAAUCUCAGGAUGUAUUUUUCAAAUGCUUUCCCACAGCAACCCUGCUGUCCGACUGCUACAGAGACUCAAGCUGGGAGAAGGCACAGGUAAGGUGUGUUCUAUGGAGUGGGUGAGGAAGAGUCCCUGCAUGGAAAGCUGGGCUUGGGAGCGGAGAGCAGGGCAGCAAUCAUGCAAGCCCCGCUGGCUGCAGUCUCCUUAGAGACUGCAAUCCAAACACAGAAAAAGACCGUCUUGGACUGCUGAGCUUUUCCUAAUCUCUAGGUUUGCUCCAGUGAUGUCCUCAAGACAGAACUCAUAAAUGUGAACCUCCUCUACCAGUUCUUUGCAAUUUUUUUUCUUGAUGUUUUUACAGGGUGAGCUCAUUAUGGAUAAUUAUGAUUCAGAUCACAGCAGAAAUAAAGAGCUACCAGUAAUCAAAGCUGGCCUACGUAUCACAAACAUAAAAGUGUAUUUGCCACGUCUAAUUUAACACUAAAAGGAAUUAUGUAAUCUUAAAUUUACAACACUUGAAAACGUAUCAAAGCAGAUCAGCUGGACUGAAGGCUAGAAUUACGACGUGCUGCACAAACACAGUUUGGUGCAGCUGAGAUGGCGAACACCACCUCACCUCAGGACUGAAACGUUCUCUUUGCUUUGCAGUCUGCUCUGCAGCCUGGUGGGAGAGCAUACCCACAUGGCAGUGUCAGCUCCAGGAGCGAUGGACAUCGAGAGGGCAGGCUCUGUGCAGUGAGACACACGCACUGGGUUCUGGCACGCAGCAUCCACACUGGCAGCUAGCGUCAUGGGUUUCCUUUUUCUUCUACAUUGGGGAUUUUAUAUAGCUUGUCUUUCAUAUGGAAAAACAAUCUGGUGUAAUAACUCUACACAGGCAUUUGACAUACUAGAUGUGAAGUCCAAUUAAUUUAUGACUCAUUCUCUAUCCCUCUCGGACAGCAUGUUCCCAAGAAAAUGCCAUCUGCAGCAUUUAUCCUGUCUAUACAGAGAAGACCAGUCGUGCUGGGGCUUUGGUCUGCUACAUCACACAAAACCCAAGAGAUUUUCAUAAUAACGAAACGGCAAAAAGACACAGAAGAUCUACUGAAAUCGUCUUCCUGUUCUUAUGAACACAUAAAAAUAGGUUACUUAUUUAGCAAUUUAGGUAAACAGACCAUUAUCAAAAGUCACUGGGGAGUAAGUCUUUAUGAUUUCAUUUCUUGAUCGCUUCCUGUCUAACUAAACAAACAUGAACUCAAGUGACACAGAUUCCACUGCUUUUGUGUGUGGAAUACUUGAACCAUUUCUGUCAUAAUUCUAUGAAUAAUUUAAUCAUCUUUUUCCUGUCAGGGACAACAUAUAUUAAGAGAAAACUGGUGGGAAGCACAGCAUCUCUCAAAGGUUGUCAAUUCAGCAACGAUCAAUUUUGCAGAGAGGAAAGAUUAGCGUACAUCACUUUGAAAAGAGAACAGUAACAUCUUACAAUAUGACUAAAAUCUGUAGUCAAAAUUCCUCGGCAAGGUUUCAGUCCCAACCUCUAGAGUAGAACUCAAUAUAAGCAUGAGGGGUGAAGAACAUCUGUGAUACCGGCCAACAAUCCUAUGAGAGAUUCUCAGCCUGAGGUCAAGCACAGCAGCUUAGAGAGGAAGCUACAGGAACAAAGAUCUGGCUUCUAAGCUCCAAGAUCUGGCUUCUAAGCAUCAAGAGUUAACCAACAACACCUGGAGACAGAGCAUUUGCUGAGCAGUAACCUUCAGAAAAGUCAGCUGUUGACCAGUGUAUGGUUUUAGACCUUCAUCUGAUGAGUGACAAGGAAUUCUGCCGCUUACUCUGAAAGACGGAAAUGGCAUCUUUUGUUCACUUGAACCCAAGGCAGAGGAUGUUGAAGACUGUAUUUAUUUAACCCCAAGACAUGGGAACUUAUAGCACAUCAUCACUUCCCAAAGAGAUUUUCUUUUUAUCCUCCUUCUCAGCCUGGGUGGCUUCUGUUUGCUUUACAGACUUCUCAGAGUUUGCUACCAGCCUUGGACAUCUGCUGCAUGCAAAUACUCAUGCUGCUUGAUAGCAAAAUCCCUCCAGUUUUGAUCAAAAAGCCUUACCAUUAGAUUUGCUGUUCAUCAUUUGAAUUGAAACGUGCAUUAUUUUAGAGCAUGAAAAGACUUAUGACAUUGGCACAUCACAUUGGCAGGAUGAGAAUUGUGACAAAGGAAGGCUGAGGAAGUGGCUGCGAUCAGAAGAUGUGCAACACAACAGAGCACAUGGACUUUGCAAAACUCUCCAUCCCACUCAGCACUCUUUGGGUGCUGUGUUUCAUCACAAAAAGCAACUCCUAAGAGAAGUCUAUCCAGGAACACAUAAAUUAUAGAGGGCAAGCACAAGUAUCUCAAAGGCAGACUGAAAACAAAACCCAUUGUGCGUGACGUUAGACUAAGGACCUAUCCAGAACACUUGUAGAAAAUUCAAAACUCUGUCACAGCUGUCAAUUCUCAAGAAAACAAGGAACUUCAGACUUAGCUGCUGACUGGACGUGCACUUGUUUCUUGCUAUGCAACUGAAAUCCCUGCUGUUCGGCAUCCUUACUGUCUACAUUCUCCUUGCAGCAGCUCUCUCUGGGAUCAGUGGCAGCUCAGAACUCAGUAACCUUUUCCAGUGACUUAUUCCACAUACUGGCAGAUGAACUGACCUGCAUGAAUCAGCUUCCCUGUAAACAGCCUCUGGUCCUGACUUACACAUUUACAUACUAUGAGCAAAGGAAAGGGGAGAGAUUAAUGCACAAAGAAAUUAGUUUGGUAUACAGGAUGCCUGGGGGUUCCAAGAGGAUGUACAGCCCUUCAUCUCCGUAUCAGCAAGAAUGUCAAAUCAUGUCUAUCUGAAGACUGUACACAAGUCCUUAUGAAAUAAACAGGAAAUCUGAAGCUUAGUACCCAGCUGGUUGGUUUCCACAUGGGCGAGGGCCUGGUAAUGGCACUAACACCACUGCAUCUGUAACUGGCAUAAAGGCCAAGGACUCUAUAACUGUGCUUCUUCCAAGACAUGGAGCACUGGCACUAUCCUAAGAAGAAAUGCAGUAAAGAGAGCAUCUUCUUUGGCUAAACUUUGCAUGCUAUCUCCUACAACAGACGGCUGUACAUAUGUUCUCACUUUUGUACACCACACAGAGAGGACUACUGGUGGUGUGUGCUGCACUGCAGAGCUGCAGACAUCCCACAGAGACUAAAGGUCCCUGCUUGGGGCACCUGCACAGAAGCCCUCAGUGGAGACUCUGCCAGCUGUCCUCAUGCAUGGGACAAUCCGGGCUGAACAAGAGACAGACCACAUAAGAGAGGCAUAAAAGAUUCUGAAACGCCUCCUAAAACUGCACAGGAAAGAGUACAUCCAAGCAGCAAUUCACCUGCUGCUCCUUCGUUUUCCUGGUGCAGAUGGAACAGCGUGGGAAGGACUGCUGCUCCCACAGCAGAUAGUGAGACAUUGAAGUCAUUUCCACUCACGCCUGUGCAUCCAAGUACGCGCUGGAGCUGUGGCACAACUCUUCUGGAGAAAACACACACAACAGGCAGUCAGCUGUAAGCUCCAACUGCUGGCAGGAGCCGACCUUCGAGAGGAGCAGACUGUCUGGGACCUGGAUGCAGCCCAUCUUCACUACAAAGGACUGUUAUGAGUUAUUGUUUAACCUGGAGUUAAAGAAAUGCAUCCAUCUCCUUGUCAUCUUCAAUUUGCAGGAAAGUCCCUCUGAUACUUGGUCCUAACUUGCAUCAGUGAUGCAAAGUGUCAUAAAUAUUUCGACAAGUUUGGCUACCUGCAGCAUUCUCAGCAGCCUAGAAAGCUUCAAACAGUCCUGAAGUUUUUUUCAAAGUAAUACUUAAUUAUUUGUAUGCAACACAAAUGAAUGCAAUAUUAGUGAUUAGGAAGAAUUUAAACAUUUAGGAACACAAUGUGAAUGCAUUAUUAACAUGUGUAAAACAUUUUGUCCUUUCCUAUCUUGUUCAGAAGUAUGCUGAAUUGCUACCCUGAGGGGAAUGUGACGGCAUUAUUCAUCCCUAAUUUUAAAUACUAGACAAAAAUAUCUAAAAUUAAAAUACUGUUUGUGAUAUUAAUACAUGGCAUAAAACUGAAAAUGAAUAAAAGCAAAUCCUACAAGUCAGCAUCUGGCUCACGAGCAUGACCGUCAACCAGAGGCAAAAUAAAUCACAACUAUUACCCAACAACAGAUGGCUCUGGCUUGGGCCAAGAUUUGCACUUAGAUGGGAUGACAAUUUAAAUAGACGAUGCAGACCUGAAAGUGCUGGCAUAAUGACUGGAAAAAAUAUCGGCCUGGAAAGACAAUAUUUCAAAUGAGUCCCAAGCUUCAGCACUCUCAUUUUGCUUUUGAUCAUCACUACAGUUUGGUGUUAUUGAAGUCAGCUGAGAUGGACAGAUAGAUAAAUAUAGACAUGGAUACUAAAAAUCCAGCCACAAAUGUAUUACCUUUUUUAUUAAGUUGGGAUAUAGAAACACAUUUGUUCUUGGGGAUAAAGUCUGAAGUUAUUAGUUAAACAUCUGAUAACGAUCACAUUUAUCAAUCCUAGCCACCACAAAACAUUCAGAGCACUAGAUAAUUAGGAUGAAUCAACUGCAGUUAAUUAUAAAAGUUAAAUUAAAGCUUUUAGAAAUUAGGUACUGCUAUAGAAUGAACGUUCUCACUGAGCGUUUGUUCUUCCCUAGCUACUUCAGUCUCUGCUGAUCUGCUCCUGGACACAGCAGCACAUGGAACCACAACAGAGAUUUUAAGGCUUCUUCCAUAAGAUCAAUGUCAAGACUCUCACAGAGAUUAAGGGUUGGAGACUCACGUAUCUGUAACCCCCACAAUCAGAUGGCAAUGGAAACCCGAUUCCACUGUGCUAGAAUAUUCCAAGGCUGGAUGUUCCAACAGUUCCAGCCUGAGUCAUAUGACAUGUGGCUUGUUUCUUAAAGCACCUACCACUAGAUGCAUGACAACCUGCAGGCAAUCUUAGCCCUCAAUAAAAAGAGACCUUUUCUAACUCUCCUAGAACAGAGUAAACAUCCCUGCAUAUCA